GUCUUAAUAGUUUAUGAAAAAUAUUAUAUUGUGGAUAUAAAGAUACAUUAGUUUAUGACA
rnacentral:tRNA from 1 species